AAUCUCAAGGAAGCUCUUUGGGAGCCAGGAUUCCCAGCACUUAGCUGGUGGGCAAAGGGGUUCAACCCCUUCCCCACACCCCACCUUCCCUCCUCCCAGUCUUCGGGAUUGCGGAGCUCCUGCCGGGAUCCAAGAGCAGGCUCUUGGAGGUCGAAGAAGGAUAUAACCUCCAGACCUGGAAUUUAAGACGCAAGAACCAGCCAGCAAAAGUGGCAGCCGAGCAUGCGAGGGACUGCUGAUGGCUUUUUAUUAGGAAGCUAUGCAACUUGAGGUUCUACUGAAAAGGAGAAGAGGCCACUGGAGAUGGGAAGCCACGAAAACAUGAAGAUGUAGAAGUCUCAGCUCCUUCAAUGCUAUGUCUGCCAAGAUGCUGCCACACUCCCUUCUUGAUGAUAAUGGACUGAACCUCUGAACCUGGACGAGAAACUACAGCAUUACUUCUGCAGAUUCACAAAGGAGUCCACGUUCCAAGAUGAGAGAAAUACCAGAAGCCGAUGGCUAUUCUACUUGACUGAAUGAAAAGAAAAGGAAGGCACUUCCUGUCAAUCCUGCUUUGGAUUCCUAGACAGUUUAAGAAGCACCAUUGAUCUGAUCAUUGGCACUGAGGAGGAAAUGCCCAUCCGCAGAAGACAUGCAGGGCUCAACCCAGCUUGACAUGGGCAAGACCAAGACAGGAAAAAUGAAAUGUACUUGACAUGCAUUAGCAAAGAAGUGGGCAUUCUGGUGACAAAGCAUUGGUCCUCUGCAAACGGUUCCAGGUGGAGUGGGCAGAAGACAGCAGCCCCAGGGCUUGAGCCUCCCUUCACAGUGGGUACCUGGCACAGGCAGACAACAAGCAGUGAGUGGGCCAGCAGAAUGGAACGGCUUGGUCAGCACAGGCGCUUUCAUCAGAUGAAGUGGGGUCACCUUUUACACUCCUGUUAACUCCUUGGGUGGAAUUACCCAACGGAAUGAAAAUUGGAUGGAGUUAUGGCGGGACACUCUUACUGGACACUGAAACCAUCCUGCAGCAAAUUGCUUCUGUGAAAUCUUUCUGCUGUUUGGGAGGUAUCCUUCUAUAGCACAGAAACGGAAACUUCAGCCAGAAGAGAGGAAUUCAGUGACUCCAUGCCAACAGAAACAGAGCUCUGCAUUUGUUUCCUGAGCCUACUUGCACUUGGAAGGUUUCUUUCCUCACAAGAAACAUGUGUUACAGGAUAUAAAAGUGGCUUUCCGUUUGGGGUUAGAACCCGAAACAGAAAGACAACAGAGAAAAAUUUCAGCUCAGCCUUUCUAGAUUGGAAAUGAUGCAUGAAUGUUGUUGUUUCUCCAAGACUUCAGCACAGGUAUAACAUGGUGCUAAUUUAAUCACCCGGUGAAUCACCUUUUCUCUGUGAGAUGUUAACACUGAUGUAAGAUGUUUCCAUGUGAGGAACGGGAAAGACUUGAGACACAAAAAAGCUUCAAGGAUUGGUAAAUAGAAUAAUGUGGUCUGUACCCCACUAAUUUUUCUUGCCAUCCAUGAGAGGCCCGAUGGGCUGCAGCAAUGCAUCAUUUAGAUCGCCCCUUCAGCUGGUUCAUGGAAAACUAACAAAAAUUGAUGUUGUUAUCUGGGGUUUUCGUGUGUGAUUUGUCUAACUCUUUACAUUCAUUAUGGGUUUUGCCCUUCUUUAAUAAAAUGGCCUGAUAUUGCCUUCAGAUGUUGCA
rnacentral:lncRNA from 1 species